CCUGGCGGCCAUAGCGCCGUGGAACCACCUGAUCCCAUGCCGAACUCAGAAGUGAAACGCGGUAGCGCCGAUGGUAGUGUGGCAUUCGCCAUGCGAGAGUAGGACACUGUCAGGC
rnacentral:rRNA from 2 species